UACGUAGGGUGCAAGCGUUGUCCGGAAUUAUUGGGCGUAAAGAGCUCGUAGGCGGUUUGUCGCGUCUGCUGUGAAAUCCCGAGGCUCAACCUCGGGUCUGCAGUGGGUACGGGCAGACUAGAGUGUGGUAGGGGAGACUGGAAUUCCUGGUGUAGCGGUGGAAUGCGCAGAUAUCAGGAGGAACACCGAUGGCGAAGGCAGGUCUCUGGGCCACUACUGACGCUGAGAAGCGAAAGCAUGGGGAGCGAACAGG
rnacentral:rRNA from 1 species